CAGCUGGGAAAUGGUGAUGUCACAUACUUGCACCUGCACCAAUCAGAGUUUAACUACCAAAGUGAACGAACCCGUACUUUAACUUAAAUUGUUACUUUAAGUCAUUAGUAUUCAGUGUAAUAGAGAAAUAAUAAAAUCUGUUUUGGGGGAUUUAUUGCUUUAAAUUAAUUUUUGAUUACACUUUAAAUUAUUUCCAUGGAAGUACUUCCCCCUACUGGCAAUUUUUUUUAUUAGUGAAUAACAAGACCUUAAGACUAAAUACACAUGAGACUGGCCUGAUAAGACAAAGUGAAAUGUUUUCUUGCUGGUGUUUGGUUUGUUCUCUCACACAACUUUUAUGAUACACCAUGGAAAGUUUGUUUCAUCAUUUGAAUUUCAAAGUUGGUUGCAGUAUUUUGGCACACUUAGUCCUAACUGCAUACCAGAAAUUUUUUCUAUUUCAAAUCCCACCCUUUCUGCCAGUCGCCUCACAUAACUGCUGUUUACUGUUCAGUCCAGGGUUAACACAGAUUUCAGUUGGUGCUGCUGCUGCAGAAAACUUGUGGUCAACGCGCUGAAUUCCCAGAUGAUCUGCAAAAGCCUGCGGGCAAGAAAUGAAGUUAGGAUGUUUCUGUUUCUCCACACCAUGCCAUGGAAGUUCCCUUGAGCACAGCCUCUUCACACCCUGGCAGAUAAGAGAGAGAAGUUUUCAACCUGCAGACAAGCAGAGAGAAGAUGAUGACAGCGGGGCUCACCUCACCCCGGGGAGGUGAAGAGCCCAGAGGUGGUUGCGAAGGAAUGGAUUUCGGGAGCAUGGCUGUGCACUGAGAGGACUAAAAUGGAGGAAAGUGGAGGUGCACGCAGAUAAACAUCAAGGACAAAAUGGGGAUGUGCGGCUAAGAGUCUGAGGGAAAGGAGCAGAUAGGAAUAGGAGGAUAUUUCAGAUCAGUACUCACUGUCGACUGGAAGAAAAAGAGGAGGAAAAAUGCACCAAUGAAAACUAGCAAUGCACAUUUAAAGUGACUGUAUGAAAUAUAAAAAUAGAAAAACAAACAUUUUUGCCAGUCCUGUUAAUGUGCAUCUGCAUUAACUGAUUUUCUUUUUGUGUCCUUUUUUUUUUUUUUUUUUUUACGGAAAACAGCUACCUGCUGCGUCUGAGCCCAGGGUUGAUGACAUUGAGGGUGAAUCAAACCAUUAAAGCUACAAUUCAUAAAAAACAAAACAAUGAGCUGAAAGAUGUUAAAAGGCUCGACAGAACUGAAAACAACUGUAGAGUUGAGUGAUAAUUGUCAGUGGGUUCUUAAAGAUCUUUUAUAAUAUCUGUAGGCAUUGUUGUAGUCAUCUAUUGUUAAUGUAAAAAAAAUGAGUAGUGCAGCUUUAAGUAAUCACACUAUUUAGUAAAUUUGGCAAGAGGUAAGGGACACAUCAGGCAGGCUAAUAGAUAUAAGAUGGAGGUCUUGGUGGCAGGAAAAUUUAUCAACACAUUUUUUAUUUUUUAUUUUAGCUCAGGAAGGAUCUAGAGCCAGAAUUAUUUGGUUCAGAAGAGGCUGUGCUAAAAACGAGCCACAUGAUCCACCAGGAAAACAGCUUUAUACAUGCAGCCUGCAUUUUCCUGAGGAGAAGUCUAAUGAGGUAAACAACAUACACCUGUGUCAGCUGGAGAGCGACGAGGAAAAUGACAGACCUCAUUUCCAAGUAUAACUCAGAGCUCUUACAUUUUUAUACUGAUUUGAAGGAUUGCAUCCUUUCUGUUUAACCAGAAACUGUUGUUAUAUUACUACCAGACUCCAAAAAACAUCAUUUUAAUUUUUUUUUUAAGUUAAUGACCAACCACUGCCUUGAUCAGCUAGUUUGCUAGUGAUAUUCCACCCUGAGUCAGAUGUUUCUUCCGGUUAAAAGAGUUUUUCCUCUCCUUUGUUGCCAGGUGCUCAAGUGUUGUGGGAACUGUUGGGUUUCUCUUUAUGACACUGUAAAGUCUCGACCUUACUCGACACAAAGUUGAAUGUAUGUUGUGAUGUGGCGCUAUACAAAUAAAACUGAACUGACUUGUGAUUCUGCUCCUCUACCAGAAUGAAAUGUAAGAAUGAAAAAGCAUCAUUGAAAUUACUGAACAAACCUUCAACUGUUCACUUGACACAUCUUUGACCUUCUGUUUUAUUCAUUGCUAAUCUUCAAUGUGACUCUCAAUACAUUUAAACUAUGAGAAUGUUACAGCAUACAGCAGACUGUUACUAGAAUGUCUUUUAUCCUCUAAAUGGAAGCUGAAAGUCAUUCAGAAGUGUAGAAUAGUUUGACUGUCAAAAGUUUUAGAAAACAAAAUGUCUUCCUUUAUGUAUAUUUUAGAACUUCAUGUUUUGCUAUGUGUCAUUCAAAACUGAAUAAAAUGCUAGCAUCUUCUAUUUGAAA